AAUGCGAGCAAUCGUGACCAGGGAACUCCAAGUGGCUGGGGUAAUACCCAGUUUUUUCUUGACUCUUCAAAGGUCUUGGAAUAAGGGGUGGGUAAGGACGGUGCCAGCCGCCGCGGUAAUACCGGCGCCUCAAGUGGUAGUCGCUUUUAUUGGGCCUAAAACGUCCGUAGCCGGUCUGGUGCAUUCGUGGGUAAAUCAACCCGCUCAACGGGUUGAAUUCUGCGAGCACGGCCAGACUUGGGACCGGGAGAGGUGUGGGGUACUCUCAGGGUAGGGGUAAAAUCCUGUCAUCCUGAGAGGACCACCUGUUGCGAAGGCGCCACACUAGAACGGAUUCGACGGUCAGGGACGAAACCUAGGGGCACGAACCGGAUUAGAUACCCGGGUAGUCCUAGGUGUAAACGCUGUGGACUUGAUGUUGGGGGUGCUCCGAGCACCCUCAGUGUCGAAGCGAAGGUGAUAAGUCCACUGCCUGGGGAGUACGGUCGCAAGGCUGAAACUUAAAGGAAUUGGCGGGGGAGCACUGCAACCUGAGGAUUGUGCGGUUUAAUUGGACUCAACGCCGGGA
rnacentral:rRNA from 1 species